rnacentral:tRNA from 1 species
GCCCCGGUAGCUCAGUGGUAGAGCACAUCCUUGGUAAGGAUGAGGUCGGCAGUUCAAUCCUGCUCUGGGGCUC